rnacentral:lncRNA from 1 species
UAGAGAUAUUAAUUACCCUUUCCAUGCAGGAGUGUUUGUGUGAAAUAAAGCAAAGAGAAGGAGACCAAAUGGGGAAGCUUUCUGGACCUCUUCCCUCUUAAAAGGUUAGGGAGUGUCUUGGCUUACUGCAUGACAAAAUGACCUCACAAAUACAGGACUGCCAUCUCAGCUUUUGUCCUUGACUUCCAGAAAUGUUUCUGUGGCUUCUGUCAUACAUUACAAAUAGGGUAGACCUUCAUCUCCAAAAAUACAGGGAAUUUCCCAGGUGGAAAUAUGAUCAUGAUGUCAGUAACAUACGCAUACUGAUUCCUACAGUUUUGGGGCAGUCAGACUGACACGCAUGUAAGUGUGACCCUUUUUUUGACUGCCAAGCAAAGUAGGUGCUUGUCAGGACAACUACCUGACAGAUUGCCCACUUCUAGGCAGGCACCAUUUCCAGGCAGAAACCUUACUCUUUCCGGGGCUGGCCACUGGAGAAGAUGUACCUACGUUGUAGUAAAGAAUGGUAUGGUCAUAACUACAUGCAUUAAAGCGCCUAAAGGCCUUGGGAGCUCCAGUCUUGACUGAAGUGCCAUCCAGAAAGCCAGUAGCUGCCUGCUGUUUGAAUAGGCCACCCCAGAUCCAGCUGAAGCACUGGAGGAGAAGGCCCAGCCUUCACCCCUAGAGCACAUGGGGUGGCCCCAGAGCAAACCCAAAUCCAGCAAACCACCAGAGGGAGAUAAACUCACACACUUGGCCAAAUACAGCUCCUUCUGUGAGGGGGAAAUUGUAGGAGUUCCAGAGGGGGACAUAGUUGACGGCAAAUGUGCGAAGAUGGAGAAGAGCAGGCUAUUGCAGCAGGCCUCACAGCCUGCUUGCUGCCUCCAUUCCCAGAGGCAGCUGGGCCACAUGAGAACUGGGCCAAAAGAGACGGAGGACACAAAGGCUGCCUUUUUUUCCUCUAGACCCAACUUGAAAGGUAUUUUUCUCCAUCAAGCUGCAGGACAGGAUGAUUACACAGGAAUUAUCAGGUUAACACACAUCAUCUGCAUGGACAAACCACAGAGGGAAAUGGGCCAAGCAACUCUGCAGUGGCUGAUAUCUGAGCUGCAGGAAUAG